rnacentral:rRNA from 1 species
GCUGAAACUCGCCUACAUGAAGCUGGAGUUACUAGUAAUCGCAGAUCAGAAUGCUGCGGUGAAUGCGUUCCCGGGUCUUGUACACACCGCCCGUCACACCACGGGCGUUGGAGACGCCCGAAGCCGACUAUCUAACCUUUUGGAAGAAGUCGUCGAAGGUGGAAUCAAUAACUGGGGUGAAGUCGUAACAAGGUAGCCGUAUCGGAAGGUGCGGCUGGAUCACCUCCUUUCUA